UAGCCAGCAAAACAAAAUAAUUGUUAUUAAGUCAAUAAUAAUUAAGAUAUCACAAGAUAAUGUUUUUAAAAACACAUUAUCUAACUACACAGGUGGUACUAUAUCAGUAUCUUAUCUGUGAAUGAUGAAAAACUAUGAAAUAAAGACGAAAAUUAUAUAAUUUAAGUCUUUGACUGCCAAUAGAAAACUGUAGAACUUGAAAUCCUCCACUAAAAUUGGUCACCGUUGACCCUCGUGGCGUUUAAGGUGUUAAUAAUUCAGAUGAGUAAUCCCAUCUUAAAACACAUGAUUGAAAGAUAUGUGAGAGAUUGGUCAAAGAUUGUAAGUAAGAUAGUCGCAAAAUGUCGUCAAAUAAAAUUGAGAUAAGUAAGUAGAAAUAUUGCACCCUUAGAAUGAAAGUGAUUUAACUCAAAAUUUCUGUAAUAUUUGAUUUUAUCAUAAACUGGUGUUUUAUUCUACUCUACAACCAAAGAACUAAUCCAUAAAUCUAGUAAAAAUCGGUCAUGGAAUACGGAAGAGAUACUAAAAUGUAUUCAAUACUAUAAUUUUCUGAGACUUUCUGGCUCAUUUCCUACAACUUGCAGUUUUUGGAUUCGGUCACUUUCAUUCUAAGAUAAAGAAUACUGCUAGACAAAAUGGGUUCAUAAUAAAAGCAAUAAAAAUCUUAUAAGAAUAAGAUAAUCAAAUUGCACAACUUUCUAAAAAGAGUUCCAAAUUAAAAAGGAUUUAAAUACUAUUUACAAAUCACCACCUUCUUUCCUCAUAGAGUAAUAAAAAAAAACAAAAUUCAAAAAAGGAACAGCAGUCUUGUGACAUUUCAUAAAAGUGACAGAGAGUAGUGCAAGAGAUUAUCAGAUAAAAUGCUACAAAAUAUAACAUAAACGAUUAAACUAAACACCUAAAGCUUUAAAAAGGAAGCAUUAGAGAUAAAGAGAUUAAUUGGUUAGUGUGUUACAGCUGGACACGGCCGGCAAACACCUACACGACUACACGAUGCGUUUCAAGGUUAGCUACGGAAACACAGAGGAGUAAAUGCACAAAUAUUAGUAGAAUUAUACCUCUUACCUUCUGGUGGAGGUAAACAACCGCUAUCAGAUUUGGAACGCUGCUAAAAGAAAAAGUUGGACUGCGUUUUGUUAGUGCUCUGAGAAGAUAUAACAAAAAUAUUGAUUUAUCAAUUUUGUGACCAAGAUGUCUGCGUUAAUAAUCUCUUUUUUUACUAAAAUGUAUUUAUUUGUGGUACACUGGGUUGGUUUUAAAAUGAAAAAACUGAUUGGUACGCCUUCAGCUUAUAACGCGGUUGUUAUUCCUUUGGAUCCUGUUUAGGCAGAAUGUUCUAAACAAAUUCGUUAGGUAAAACUAAACGUGCGCAUGUGAUGUUAUUCUGUGUUGUAAGAAAAAAUAAAUCAAUGAAUUUAAUAAAGAUUUGUAUAAAUUA